CCCUUAGAUGUUCUGGGCUGCACGCGCGCUACACUGAAGCUAUCAACACGUUUUCCCUCCCUGAGAAGGGCGGGUAACCUUUUGAAUCAGCUUCGUGGUAGGGAUCGGGGCUUGCAAUUGUUCCCCGUGAACCAGGAAUUCCUAGUAGACGCGAGUCAUAAGCUCGCAUCGAUUAAGUCCCUGCCCUUUGUACACACCGCCCGUCGCUACUACCGAUUGAACGUUUUAGUGAGGCAUUUGGACCGACGCAUCUCAGUUUAACCGCUGGUUUGUGUUGGAAAGACUUCCAAAUUUGAGCGUUUAGAGGAAGUAAAAGUCGUAACA
rnacentral:rRNA from 1 species